GAUUUGCAGGACUGCCUUUUCCGGUUUAUCACAGAACGUGGAGUAAGACCGGCUUGGAUCUAUGGCACAUGGGCCGCUCGGGGUGUAAAUUACGGUCAUACAGUGGGUCACCUUGGCUUACUGAUGAGACCAGCACUGGCUGAUGAACCGGUUUCCGUCAUCUGUGUAAAACGACGAGCAAUGGUGCACAGGUGUCGUAAUUAUGACCUUUACCAUGUCAUGAAUGCAAGAUCUGCAAACCAUAAUGAUGCCAAGAAACGAUGUGAAGACGCACAGAUGUCCCUUCCAAAGUCGAGGUCAGACGAAUGUCUUGGUUCAUUCCUGCGCAUACUGGCCAUAACGCAUGUAAAUAAUGUUUGGAUUCAAGGAGUUGGCGACCAAUAUUAUAGCAACCCAUUGGCCAUCAUCUGUGUUAAAGGUUUGUACUGCGAUGUGCCUGCUAUUGCUGAUGGAAAAGCCGACAAGAAGUCGGUCCGACUUACGCAAGAUGUUAGUUAUUCCUGCAACAACGGUCACCCACUAGUGGGGAAUUCGACGGUAACUUGCCAAACAGAUGGAACGCUCACUUCAGUACCUUUC